rnacentral:rRNA from 1 species
UCCUGACUGACCGAUAGUGAACCAGUACCGUGAGGGAAAGGCGAAAAGAACCCCGGCGAGGGGAGUGAAAAAGAACCUGAAACCGUGUACGUACAAGCAGUGGGAGCACGCUUCGGCGUGUGACUGCGUACCUUUUGUAUAAUGGGUCAGCGACUUAUAUUCUGUAGCAAGGUUAACCGAAUAGGGGAGCCGAAGGGAAACCGAGUCUUAACUGGGCGUUAAGUUGCAGGGUAUAGACCCGAAACCCGGUGAUCUAGCCAUGGGCAGGUUGAAGGUUGGGUAACACUAACUGGAGGACCGAACCGACUAAUGUUGAAAAAUUAGCGGAUGACUUGUGGCUGGGGGUGAAAGGCCAAUCAAACCGGGAGAUAGCUGGUUCUCCCCGAAAGCUAUUUAGGUAGCGCCUCGUGAAUUCAUCUCCGGGGGUAGAGCACUGUUUCGGCAAGGGGGUCAUCCCGACUUACCAACCCGAUGCAAACUGCGAAUACCGGAGAAUGUUAUCACGGGAGACACACGGCGGGUGCUAACGUCCGUCGUGAAGAGGGAAACAACCCAGACCGCCAGCUAAGGUCCCAAAGUCAUGGUUAAGUGGGAAACGAUGUGGGAAGGCCCAGACAGCCAGGAUGUUGGCUUAGAAGCAGCCAUCAUUUAAAGAAAGCGUAAUAGCUCACUGGUCGAGUCGGCCUGCGCGGAAGAUGUAACGGGGCUAAACCAUGCACCGAAGCUGCGGCAGCGACACUAUGUGUUGUUGGGUAGGGGAGCGUUCUGUAAGCCUGUGAAGGUGUACUGUGAGGUAUGCUGGAGGUAUCAGAAGUGCGAAUGCUGACAUAAGUAACGAUAAAGCGGGUGAAAAGCCCGCUCGCCGGAAGACCAAGGGUUCCUGUCCAACGUUAAUCGGGGCAGGGUGAGUCGACCCCUAAGGCGAGGCCGAAAGGCGUAGUCGAUGGGAAACAGGUUAAUAUUCCUGUACUUGGUGUUACUGCGAAGGGGGGACGGAGAAGGCUAUGUUGGCCGGGCGACGGUUGUCCCGGUUUAAGCGUGUAGGCUGGUUUUCCAGGCAAAUCCGGAAAAUCAAGGCU